rnacentral:rRNA from 1 species
UACGUAGGGACCAAGCGUUGUCCGGAAUCAUUGGGCGUAAAGCGCGCGUAGGCGGCCCGGUAAGUCCGUUGUAAAAGUCAAAGGCUCAACCUUUGAAUGCCGAUGGAUACUGCCGGGCUAGAGUCCGGAAGAGGCGAGUAGAAUUCCUGGUGUAGCGGUGAAAUGCGCAGAUAUCAGGAGGAACACCGGUGGCGAAGGCGGGUCUCUGGGCCGAUACUGACGCUGAGGAGCGAAAGCAUGGGUAGCGAACAGG